UCUUCAAACAUCUGAGGGGUGUUUCAAUUUCGAAAUAAUUGUUGUCGAUGAUGGGAGUCCUGAUGGUACUCAAGAAGUCGUAAAACAGUUGCAGCAAGUGUAUGGAAAAGAUCGUAUUCUAUUAAGAGCCAGACCAAAGAAACUUGGUUUAGGUUUGUGCCUUUUCUUUUCUGCUUUAACAUUUACAUUAUGAAUUAGGAAAUUAUGUAUUCUCUUGAUUCAAUUUCAGGAACUGCUUACAUUUAUGGUCUGAAGCAUGCAUCGAGGAAUUUUAUUGUUAUCAUGGAUGGUGAUCUAUCCCACCAU